rnacentral:rRNA from 1 species
UACGGGGGGUGCGAGCGUUGUCCGGAAUCACUGGGCGUAAAGGGCGCGUAGGUGGCGUGAUAAGGGUGUGGUGAAAGCCCGGGGCUCAACCCCGGGUCUGCCAUGCCGACUGUCAGGCUAGAGUACUGUAGGGGCAGGCGGAAUUCCGGGUGUAGCGGUGGAAUGCGUAGAGAUUGGGAAGAACACCGGUGGCGAAAGCGCUCUGCUGGGCCGCAACUGACACUAAUGGACGAAAGCUAGGGGAGCGAAUGGG